GAGCUCAUUUGCAUGAGCGCUCCGCUUGGCCGCACCGCCACGUCUUGAUAAAUCUGGACUCUUUCCACGCACUGGGCUGGAAAAGUGCAUCAAGAUGUGGCCUGCACCAGUGCUUCUGCUCGUCCAGUCGGCUCUGCUGAUUCAAGGAUCUUCCGCCCAGGAUUUGUUGACCCAGACGGACAAAAUCAAGUAUGUCAGUCUACAUGGGACGGUGACCAUCAGCGCCAAAGGGAGUUCAAAUAUUGACGAUGAUCUCAGUUGGUACCAAGUGAAACCUGGACAGGUUCCUAAACCUCUGAUCUAUCGUGCAUCAAGUCUUGCUUCUGGAACACCAUCUCGAUUCAGUGGCACACGAUCUGGCUCUGACUACACUCUGACUAUCAGUGGUGUUCAGACAGACGAUGUCGCUGAUUACUACUGUUUUGCCGAGUUUGGAGGGGGAAGGUUUACACGGUGAUUGAGAGCUGUACAAAAACCUCCUUUGGUUAGAGGGAAGUGAAAGUGGAAGAUGUGAUGAUGACUGGUCCACUGAACAAAGAUCACCAAGCAGAACCAGCGUCAACUUGAACAAGUUGAUUGGCUUGUAAGAAAAAGUUGAAAUGAGGGAAGAAGAAGUCACACUAACACUGAGGGCCGGCCCGUCCCAUAAACACUUCAUGCCAAAGUUCUCCAAGCCAAGGACCCCCAAACUGACAUCAAGAUGGAGUGAGGACCCCCAACUAACACAUCUUGUAUAAAAUUGGGUUUUAUAUUGUCAUUAAUGUACUUGUAGCUCUUACUCCUAAACUGUACAUAAAUGAACUCCAGAACACAGAACACAUCGAUUAAUUAAUACAUUAAACUGAUUAUUGGCUAGGAUAGGCUCCAGCUCCCCACGACCCCGAGAGGGACAAGGGGUAGAAAAUGGAUGAAUGGAUGAUUAUUGCUAACAUGUAUUUAAAUACAUUCACAUUUGUGAAAAUCAUAAAUAUAUACAAUUAUCUAUGAAAGGUGUAUAUUUAAAAAAAUAAUCAAUUUUUCCAAAAAUGUUGGGACCCUCCCAGCCUCCGCGAUCCCCUUGGUGAAGACCGAUGCUCUUUGUGGUUGUUUAGGCCACACAUGAUUGAUAAAAAGGAAUUAUUAACUAUAAUUCAAACUAUAGUUUGAAGUCCCAAUGUAGAAAUAUGAAUGUGCUUCAGCAUGUGUCCUGUUUUGUAGUGAUACGGUACAUUUGCAGAUGCAUGGAUAACAACAAUAUUCUAUUUGAAUUGAGCACAGUGUGUUCAAAGUCUGACACAGAUAUGAUAGGAAAAGUGGAAAACUGGAGCACGUUUGGGGGAUUUUCCUGCUCUCCCCAAAAAACUCUUUACUUUUGUUACUUUAAGGCAAUAAAGAUCAAUUAAAGACUUAAAUUAAGUUUUUUGCACUUGAU